AAGGGAGGCGGGGAAAGUCCCCGCGGACGCGGCCGGGUGAGGUGGGGGGGGGGGCCCUGGAGGCCCGCGUGGCCCGCCGCCCGUCCCCGCCCAGGCUCCGGCCUCCGCACCUGCAUUUUGUGCCGAUUUUGUGGUCAAAUGAGCAGGACUUGAGGCCGCCUGGGGAGCGUCCAGCGUCAUCUCCCGGCCGGGAGUCCCCCUGCCGCCGUGCGCGGGCCCGUGGCCGCCGAGCCAGAAGGAGCGUCAGACCCCACCGCCCGCGGCCUGGGUGAGAAGGCGGAGCGGCCGGCCACGUGAGAAAGGCGAAGCCUACUUCUCCGUGCGUGGCUGCAGCAAGAGCCCGCGUGGCCUUGCUUGUAUUUUUUGGCAGAGACUCAGGCGGGCAGAGGAUCGGGAAAACACGUGGAUGGUGGAAAGAAGGGAAGGCCCCGACGUGCCCCGCGGGGGCUGCAGGUCUGAACUCUGCCCGCCGGGAGCCCACUCGAUCCCAGUGUGGCCCUCUCUGAGGGAAAUAAGCUGCGAAGAGAACAUCCCGUGGUGAAGAGGGCUCCAGCAUCUCAGCUGUGACGGCUGGGGUCUGCUCCUCGUAGAUACCGAUGCCUGAAACCACUGGGAAGGAGUGGUUCUCUCCCUCAUGAUGUCGAGGAGGCAAGG